rnacentral:rRNA from 1 species
ACGAACGCUGGCGGCAUGCCUAACACAUGCAAGUCGAGCGCCCCGCAAGGGGAGCGGCAGACGGGUGAGUAACGCGUGGGAAUCUACCUAUCUCUACGGAACAACCCAGGGAAACUUGGACUAAUACCGUAUACGCUCUUCGGGGGAAAGAUUUAUCGGAGAUGGAUGAGCCCGCGUUGGAUUAGCUAGUUGGUGGGGUAAAGGCCUACCAAGGCGACGAUCCAUAGCUGGUCUGAGAGGAUGAUCAGCCACACUGGGACUGAGACACGGCCCAGACUCCUACGGGAGGCAGCAGUGGGGAAUAUUGGACAAUGGGCGCAAGCCUGAUCCAGCCAUGCCGCGUGGAUGAUGAAGGCCUUAGGGUUGUAAAGUCCUUUUAACGGGGAAGAGAAUGACGGUACCCGUAGAAUAAGCCCCGGCUAACUUCGU